GUUUGGUCCUAGCCUUAUCCUCAACUUUUACUCAAUUUAUACAUGCAAGUAUCUGCACACCCGUGAGAACGCCCUCCCCCCUCUAACAGGACGAGGAGCUGGUAUCAGGCACAAUAUUCUGCCCAUAACACCUAGCUACGCCACACCCCCAAGGGUAUUCAGCAGUGAUAGAUAUUAUUUAUUAGCGCCAGCUUGAUUUAGUUGGAGUAAUUAGGGCCGGCUAAUUCGGUGCCAGCCGCCGCGGCUACCCCGCUGACUCAAGUUGACAUAGUCGGUGUUAAGCGUGAUUAAAGUUCUACUAUGAUUAGGGUUAAACUUUGACUGAGUCGUGAUACACUUGUCCCUAAGAAACCCUUGAACGAAAGUUACCCUAACCUCCCCCACUUGAACCCACGACAGCUGGGGCCCAAACUGGGAUUAGGUACCCCACUAUGCCCAGCCGUAAAACAUUUACUUACAUUCACAACCACCAGGGAAUUACGAGCCCAAUCUUAAAACCCAAAGGACUUGACGGUAUCCCACCCACCUAGAGGAGCCUGUUCUAUAAUCGAUAACCCCCGAUACACCUCACCACUUCUAGCCUAUUCAGCCUGUAUACCUCCGUCGCAAGCUCACCAUGUGAACGCACUAGUGGGCUAAAUGAUUUAUUGUCAACACGUCAGGUCAAGGUGCAGCUCAUGAAGCGGAAAGCAAUGGGCUACAAUUUCUACAACAGAACACACGAAAAACUGCAUGCAACACAGUCAUGAAGGUGGAUUUAGCAGUAAAAAGAAAAUAGAGAGUUCUUUUUAAUUAUGGCACUGGGAUGCGUACAUACCGCCCGUCACCCUCUUCAAGCUACCCUGUCAAGAAGAGGCAAGUCGUAACAUGGUAAGCGUACUGGAAAGUGCGCUUGGACUAACAAAAUGUAGCUUAUUAAAAAUGUCCCGCUUACGCCGAGACAAUGUCCGUGAGCGGACCAUUUUGAGCCUAAACUCUAGCCCCCCCCCCAUUCUAAUUUUACUUACACAAAAUAAAACAUUUUUCCCAUUAAGUAACGGCGAUUAAAAAAUGACUAGGAGCUAUAAAAAUAGUACCGCAAGGGAACACUGAAAUAAAAUGAAAAACUUAAAGCACCCAACAGCAAAGUUUUAGCCUUGUACCUUUUGCAUCAUGGUCUAGCUAGUUUAACCAAGCAAAACGUACUUAAAGUUUGACCCCCCGAAACUAAGCGAGCUACUCCAAAGCAGCUUUAUAGAGCCAACCCGUCCCUGUAACAAAAGGGUGGGAAGACCUUAGAGUAGAGGUGAUACACCUACCGAGCUUAGAGAUAGCUGGUUAUUCAAGAAAAGGAUCUCAGUCCAUCUUUAAGUUUCUCAAGUUCUGUUAAACACCUAAUAAACUUAAAAGUCAUUCAAAUAGGGGACAGCCUAUUUGAAAAAGGACACAACCUACAAUCCAGGGUAAUAACCUCCCCGUGCGACUAAGUAAGCCUAAAAGCAGCUAACUUCCAAAAAGCGUCCAAGCUUCAUCGCAAAUAAUCAUCAAUACCUCAAUUUUUAUGCAACCCUCAUCUAUUAUUGAAUAAUCUCAUAACAUAUGAGAAAUAUUAUGCUAGAACUAGUAACAAGAAGAAGAGCUUCUCCAUAAUGUAAGCGUAAGCCAAAAUGAACACUCACCGGCAUUUACCGCCACAAACCUGUAGUACCAACUUUCCCAAGAAAACCGUACUCUGACUGACGUCAACCUUACACUAGGACAUUCCUGGAAAGAUUAAAAAAGGGGGAAGGAACUCGGCAAAUAUUAGCCCCGCCUGUUUACCAAAAACAUCGCCUCUUGAACAAAUAUAGGAGGUCUAGCCUGCCCGGUGACUUAAUGUUAAACGGCCGCGGUACCCUAACCGUGCGAAGGUAGCACAAUCACUUGUUCUUUAAAUUGGGACCAGUAUGAAUGGCCUCACGAGAGCUACACUGUCUCCCCCCUUAAAUCAGUGAAACUGAUCUCCUCGUGAAGAAGCGAGGAUAAUUUUAUAAGACGAGAAGACCCCAUGGAGCUUUAAACUUGUACCACUGCCUUUUCCAACACCAAUUAAUCUAAGCAAACAAUGACUACAAGUCUUUCGGCUGGGGCGACCACGGAGAAAAACUAAACCUCCACGACGAAAGGAGCAAUCCUAAUUAAAGAGCCACCGCUCAAAAAAUCAAUAAACUGACAUAUUGACCCAAACAUUUUGAUCAACGGACCAAGUUACCCUGGGGAUAACAGCGCAAUCCAUUUCAAGAGACCCCAUCAACAAAUGGGCUUACGACCUCGAUGUUGGAUCAGGGUACCCCAGUGGUGCAGCCGCUACUAAAGGUUCG
rnacentral:ncRNA from 1 species